rnacentral:rRNA from 1 species
UACGUAGGGGGCGAGCGUUGUCCGGAAUCACUGGGCGUAAAGCGCGCGUAGGCGGCCCGGCGCAUCCACUGUGAAAUCCCCCGGCUCAACCGGGGGCGGUCUGUGGAGAUGGCCGGGCUGGAGGACAGCAGAGGCAGGUGGAAGUCCCGGAGGAGUGGUGACAUGCGUAGAUACCGGGAGGAACACCAGAGGCGAAGGCGGCCUGCUGGGCUGUGCCUGACGCUGAGGCGCGAAAGCUAGGGGAGCGAACGGA